rnacentral:tRNA from 2 species
GCCUCGGUAGCUCAAUGGUAGAGCAGCUGACUCUUAAUCAGUUGGUUCCAGGUUCAAGUCCUGGCCGGGGCACCA